AUACAAGAAGAAACCUUUCAAAAGUUCGUGGGGAUUUCAGCAUCUGGCACACAAUAAAGUUGCAAGUCAAUAUCAAGAAUGAAUCAUUAAUAUAUGUUAUACCACAAUCUCCUUGAAAUAGAGGAAAAGUGAUUUAAUUAACUUUAUAUUCCCAACAUCUGACAAACAUCAGCUACCAUCAAUAAGCAUUUGUGGAAUUAAAGCCACGUAUAUGAUGAAAAGUUAAGAUUAAAAACAAAAACCUCAUAUGUUCAAGUGUAACAUCAACAGCAGAUCAUCCCUAUAAGCCGAUACAACUGAAUACUAAUCAACAGUAACACAGAAUAAACUAUAGUUAUGUAGAACAGAAAGGAGGAGAUUGAGUAGAAGAAUCCAAA